rnacentral:lncRNA from 1 species
CAGGUUGCAGGUCCUAUAUUCUGUUAUCAACCAAUCUUGGAGCAGCAAGACGGCAAUUUAUUGAUGAUUGCCAUGGGCAUAGAAAGGAACUUGGACAUGCUUGAAUACCAUCAGGUUAAGAAGGAUGAGAACACUUCGAUAAGAAUAUUCAACCACUUGAAACACUUGCUGCAAUCCAUUUUACCAGUUUUAUCAACAACAUUUGAGGAAUACCUUGUGAGCAUGAAUCUGAAAAGGGCAACCUCUGUUCUUCAGAGGCCAGGUGGCUUGACAGCACCCAUUAUGCCUAAUCUGGAUAACAUCAGAAGCCAACUUGCCACUGCCAGUCCAUCUGUGGAGAUGCAAAACCAGUCAGGAAUGGAAGAAACAAUAGAGAUGCAGCUUGUGGAGAAAGGACAAGAUGGUAUAUAUUUAGUGCCGUUUCUUCUUUCUAAUGAGGCUGAAGAUUUUGUUGUCCCAAUACAGAAUAUAUAUAAUAAUGCAAGGGUGAAACAACAUUUUGACGCGAGAAUGCUGGUUAACCUUUCUGGCGGAUCCACAAUGAUUUCCUCUAAAGUUUCAGUUACGAGCUGUAUAAAUGAACUAAUGAAUGCCCAUGUAAUCAACUCAGACAAUCAUUUGCCUCCUGUGCACAGCCAUGAAUUUAUAAACUGGAUAGAAAAUCUAUUUUCUGUUUGUGGUGGUAGUCGAAAGGCACAUGACCAAAAGAUGAAGGAUCUUGAGGAGGUUAUUCAGUGUGGUUUGGCUGGAAAGAAGUUUCUGUUAAUUUUGCAUGGUAUCUCUGAAGAUCAAAUGGCCCAAUGGGAGUAUUUGUUCAGAGCAAUCAAGUCUGGCAGCAAAGGCAGCAAAAUUAUUGUUUCAACAAGAAGUGCAAAUGUGGAAAAAUCAGUGAGAAAUGUAAAUAUCCUGCAGAGUGAUGAAGUUGAGAACAAUGUAUCUUGGCGCUUUUUCAGAAACUUUGCCUUUGACAGCUUUAACAUAGAUGGUUAUCAAGUGGAACUUGGCAUACAAAUGAGUACUCUGUUGAGGCGGUUUCCUAUAGCCAUGAAAAUGAUUGGAUGCAUGUUAAAAAAUAACCCUACGAAGAAAUUUUGGAGAAGUGUUUACCAAAACAUAAUCCAAAUAGUAAUAGACAGAAAAGAAGCAGAUGAUCACGUCCAACUUCUCUCACUCCUCAAACUGUGUUAUGAUCAAUUGCCUGCACCUGUAGGCCUGUGUUUCAGUUAUUGUAGCUUAUACCCUAAAACCUGGAGGUUCACAGAUCAAAGUUUAAUUCACAUUUGGAUGUCGGAAGGAAUCACGGAAGAUGUAGGGAGGAGAUAUUUUGACUGCUUGUACUCAAGAGGCUUUCUUGAACUAUUAAAUCUGCAUUGCAGACAAUCUCCAACAUGCUAUGUUAUGCAUCGUUCUGUUCACCGUUUGGCAGAAGUUGUCUCUGCAAAAUGGUUCCGUAGAGUUGAGAGCAAUUAUCUGCCAGCAAGUUCACGACUUAUGACCCAUAUGUCAGUUACGAGUGGUUUUCUUCCCACCUUACGGAAGUUCAGAUGGCGAAUCACUGAGCUGCAUCUGCGCACUCUAAUUGUGUUUGGUCCAUCUGAACAUACUGAACCCAGCACAGAGGACAUUCUUGAUGAAAUUCUUAGAAGCCAGAAGUAUAUAAGAGCACUUGAUUUAACUGGAUGUGGUAUGCAGAAGCUGCCUGAACUGUCCAAUGAGUCGAGACAUCAUCUUCGCUAUUUGAGCCUCCAAGAUACCGGUAUUGGAACACUGGAAAAUUUUGACAAAUUUUACCAUCUCCUGGUUUUUAACAUCCGAGGUUGUCAACUAAGAAGUUUGCCAGAUCAUACUUCACAAAAAUUAUUGAGAGUAAGGCAUAUCAUUGGACCUGCUUCCCUGGUUUCAUCAAUACAUCAUAUCGGGAAUCUCAAGAAUCUUCAAGAGCUACAAGAGUUCAGAGUUGGUAAGCGACCUGGGCAUGGUAUAGAGGAGCUACAAGAUAUGAAUCUGAGAAAGUCACUCUCUAUUACAAACCUCGAGAACGUAAUAAGUGCAACAAAAGCAGGCGAGGUUAACUUAAGCUUGAAGACUUGUCUUGUUUCUCUGAGACUAGAAUGGCAUUCCGCAGAGGAAACCUCGCAAUCGAUGAGCACAGUAGUUCUUGAACAGCUCCAACCACCGAACUCUCUCAAUGAACUGGAAAUCAAUGGGUACCCAGGCUUCGUAUUUCCCACCUGGUUUACCGAAGAUCAUCUGAUAAAUGUGAAGAAAGUCACACUGAGGAAUUGUUCGUUUGUCAGUGUGAUUGCCCCUCUGGCCAAGUUUCCUAGUUUGGAAGAGCUGAUUUUAGAGAGAUUUUCUAUGUUGGAGAGAAUAUCAGAAUCUGAAGAAUCUGAUCGGACAAGUUACUUCAAAUAUCCUUUCAGAUUUUUAGGGUUUCCAGCAGAGACAUCCUGUCGCUUCCCAAGAUUGGUUAAACUUCGCAUUGAGGAUAUGACAGUACUAGAAGAAUGGACAGAGCAACAACCAUGCUUCCCCUGCCUUGAGGAACUUACAGUAAGGAACUGCCCGAAACUCGCUGUUUUGCCUCCUCUUCACCAUGCUAGAGUUAACAGGAUGCAUAUAGAGGGGUUGCCAUUGAUAUCCUUUAAUUCUUCUAGGAUGGGAUCAGUUGUUCCUUUUGGUGCAUUUCUGGAUGUUCCUAAUCGAUGUCCCAAUAGAGUUGAAGCUAGAGCAUUGCAGCCAUCUAGGGUGUUCAUCCUGCGACAUUGCCCCAACCUAUCAACUUUCACAAUUACAGCAGACAAUUCUAGUUCUAGCCACGGCUUUGGGCCUCUACUUCAGCUAGAAAUAACUGGUACGAAGUGCACCCCUUCUACUCUUUUUUAUACGACGGCUUAUCAUUUUUACUUCUGAAAUAGUAACUGCACACAUUUCUCGUAAACUAACACUAUGCUCUCCCUUGAAAUCUGCUAAUUAUGGCCAUCAUCAUCUGCUCGCUGCAGACUGCAAGAAACUGAAGUCCAUUCAAGGUGCAUUCGCCUUUGUUGAGAAGCUGUACAUUGAGAAAUGCCACAGUUCUCUGAAACUGCAUAAUGGCAAUGCGAUGAAAUCACUCCACACUCUGCAUAUCGACAGCGUCGCAACGCAUAUGGAUCCAUUUCUGCUUGGCCUCCGGGCUCUCAGAAUCCUGAUCAUCAAAGACAGCGAAGAACUGAACUCACUCGAUGUAUUGCUGGAAUCUGACCAUUUGCCGGAUACACUGGAGCAGCUGCAGUUGAUCAACUGCAACAGCAUCAAAUCGCUGCCAUGGAAUAUGGACCGGGUCCUAGUUCUUGAGAGCCUCCAAUUGAUCAACUGUCCUAACAUGCAAUUCUUGCCUUGCCUGCCUAAUAAUCUGACUGAACUGCGCAUCAGUGGUUGCCCCAUUCUGAAGGAGAAGUAUGGCGAAUAUGGUCCUGAAUGGGACAACAUAUCCCAUGUGCCUUAUGUUUCUUUUGAUUAAGAAUGAAUUGUUUUCUGAACGAUGUGUUCUUAUUAGAGAAUGUGUGUUCUUUGACUUGUAGUAGAUUUUCAUUUAGUGAUUAUUGGUAUUACAUUAUGAGUAGUAAUAUUUCUGGGGUUGUAAAUCGCUUCUUGCGUGACUACUGACUAGAGUAUUAUUACUCAUCACGCUUCUAAUUGCCAAACACUUCGAAAUUUAGGGUUCACUACUUCGGUAUAGCACAAAAAUAAAAAAAAAUGAUGUCGGAGGUCAUCUCAUCGAACUUCAGAAAUUUCGGAAAUCCUAUUAAUGAUAAAAAAUAAAUUUCAGAAAUAUCUAGAAUGCUCUCGGGAAUUUCGAACGAAAGAUUCAAACAAAUUACUAAUAAAUUUGAAUAGAUUUUGCUGCAUUUGAGCUUACCUUACCCGUAGCUGCUCGGCUUGCCCACCUAUCCUUACCGGCGGCGACUCCAUUCCCCGCCGACAUCGAGACCUCGCGCCGCCGCCGCCGCCGCCGUGGGGAGCCCUCGAUUCGAAUGCGAUUGCUGCUGCGCGGAGACGAGAAAUCGCGAUUGGUGAGGGAGAGAGAGGAAAGGGGACGGGAGAUUAUUAGGGAUUUCGACCGUUUAAAACAGCGGUUUUGAC